AUUGAACGCUGGCGGCAGGCUUAACACAUGCAAGUCGAACGAGUGGCGGACGGGUGAGUAAUGCUUGGGAAUCUAGCUUAUGGAGGGGGAUAACUACGGGCAACUGUAGCUAAUACCGCGUACCAUAGGAUGAGCCCAAGUGGGAUUAGGUAGUUGGUGGGGGAAAGGCUCACCAAGCCGACUAUCUCUAGCUUGUCUGAGAGGAUGACCAGCCACACUGGGACUGAGAACCGGCCCAGACGCCUACGGGAGGCAGAAGUGGGGAAUAUUGCAAAAGGGGCGCAAGCCUGAUGCAGCCAUGCCGCGUGUAGGAUGAAGGCCUUCGGGUUGUAAAGUACUUUCAGUCGGGAGGCGUUACCGACAGAAGAAGCACCGGCUAACUCCGUGCCAGCCGCCGCGGUAAUUC
rnacentral:rRNA from 1 species